AUUGAACGCUAGCGGGAUGCCUUACACAUGCAAGUCGAACGGAGUGGCGAACGGGGGCGUGAUGUAUCGGAACGUGCCCAGUAGCGGGGGAUAACUACGAGAAAGCGUAGCUAAUACCGCAUACGAUUGGAGCGGCCGAUAUUGGAUUAGCUAGUUGGUGGGGUAAUGGCUAACCAAGGCGACGAUCCGUAGGUGGAUGGAGAGGACGACCGGCCACACUGGGACUGAGACACGGCCCAGACUCCUACGGGAGGCAGCAGUGGGGAAUCUUGGGCAAUGGGGGAAACCCUGACCGAGCCAUCCCGCGUGAGUGAAGAAGGCCUUCGGAUUGUAAAGCACUUUUGUCAGGGAAGCGGUAUCUGCACAGAAAGCCACGGCUAACUACGUGCCAGCAGCCGCGGUAAUUC
rnacentral:rRNA from 1 species